GUGGAUCUGGGAACGGCUGGCCAGUGUGCGGUGGUGAUGGCGGGCUACAGGAAGGAGGCAGCGGCGUCCUGGAUCUGUUCUCGCUAGCGGCAGCGGUGAGGAGUCAGUGGAUCUGGUGGAUUUGUCGAUGGAGUCAGGUGGAGUGCCGUCGCCGAUCUUCAACUUCCCCUCUCCCGCGAGUUUCCUCCCAUGUCGGCUUCUGCUAGCCAUGGUAGAAUCGGUGCCGCUAUCGAGAUGAGCCAGAUCCGGCAUCUACCUUCCACAGUUCCCCACCGAGAACAGGAUGCAGACACAAGUUGAAUGAUUAGACCCCAAGAGAGACUAAUUUCUUUGAUGCUCUUAGAUGUCAUCGGUUUGUGUCCCAUGCAUGUACGGCUGUAGUGGCCGUUUUCCAAAUUAGAUACGGUAGGAAGGAUUUGAUCCUUUUCCAACAGAUCCUCACAGGUGGCUCAACACAGCUGGCAGCGGCGGGGUCGACGACACAGAUCGAGCACCUUCCAUCCACACCAAUCCGACGACAUCGGCUGCAGCUAGCUGCUACUCUGUCACCGGAUGGAUUGAGGAGCACCCGAGCUGAGGUUUAUGGUUGAUUAUACUUAACCCUUUCGUGAUUCUCCAACUAAAUAUGAAAAUUGUACUGGUUGGAGGAUUUGAGAAGAUGCUGCAAUCUUCAGCACGAGGAAUUUCUAUAGCAUGAAGCAAGAGAGAGAAAGUGCGACGACAUUGUUUGUGAAAAAUAGACUUGAUGUUAACUCCUGUAUAUAUAUAUUUCUUUCAAUUGGCUUUUCUUCAAAUGGAUUGUAAGAAGCAUGAACACUGAAACAGAGGUACUGUAGUUUAGUAAGAUUUUGCUCUAAUAUGUAAUAGUGACUUGGUUACUAAGAGAAAUUUUGUGACAAGAUUAAUAUGUUAUGUUGAGAACC
rnacentral:sRNA from 1 species